CCUCGGGCCACCUUAAGCAAGCUGCGCAUGCCUAGCAGUGCGCGGGGCUGCUUUGAGAGCUUGCCUGUGAUUGGAGGUCUACCGGAAUUCGGAGAGAAACAGGCCUGAUGAUUGGAAGAGAUGUGGGCCGGCCGCUGUCGCGGUAACCAGGGGAACUGCUCCCUCAGUGUGUCGCGCCGCCCAGUAGGGCGGGAAUUGCGCGUCCCGGUAUGCACCGUGCUCCGUGGCGAGACGGGCCUAUAAUGUGGCCCUCACGGUUCGGGUUCGUUUGUUUCAGAAGCUCGUUAAAGUUCGUUGUGUUAGGUGCGCGAAUCUCGCGGUUGUUCUGGAGCAGCACGACGUGCCUCAGACCGUAAGGUCCCGCCUACCGUGCAGUGAGUCGUUCACAGCUGCAGAAGGGAAAUCCCAACGACGUGAGUGAUUUUAUUUCAAAGCACACAGGUGAGCUCACCCAACUGCAGAAUUUGUACCAGCCACAGACAGCACAAGAACACAUUGGUGCCAUCAGUCUUCCCAGAACCGUUGGAGCAGCACAUAGUGCAGUAAUGGGCUUCACUGGAGCCACAGCCACAUCACACCCCAGACUUGCAAGGUGCUGUGUCAAUAUGCCAACUCCCUGAGAGCUGUCCUGCUGAUGAAGAGAGGACAAGAUUCCCAGACAGACAAUGGAGAACCAUGGCACACACUGAGAUCCUCAGCUGCUUGAUCAAUGACACAAGGAAUGAAUAAGCAUGAAUAAAGGCAUAAAAACUGGGUGUUAUUUGUACAAAUGAGCAGCAGAGCCCUCACCCAGCACCAUGCACACCGGAGCUCUGGCAGCAGUGGACCUCUGCUCUUACCUCAUCCAGCAGCAGCCUGGCAGGAUUGAAUCCACCUGCAGCAACCUGCCAUGGGGAUGCCCAGCACAGGCAGUCCUGCUGCAGAGGUCUUCCCAAGAGGAGCAGAGCGUGUUCCUGCCCCUACUCCAUGGGCUGGGAUGCUGAGGGGACCUGUUGACUUUGCAGCCAUCUGUUUGAAGUGUGGUAUUCUUGGUGUACCUGUUUUCUUUUUUACUCAAGCUGAAAUUUGGCUGUAGCAGGACUGUAGGUAGGCAAAGCCCUACAGAACUGAUACCAAAUGAGAGAAGUCCUGCUGAAGAUGGAGUCUGAGGUAUGAAGAUGAAGGAGUACAGAGUGCUGAGAGAGAUCUUCCGAUGGCAGAUAAGUCUUCAGACUUAGCUGAAUCUCAUCUCAAAGGCCCUCCUCGUCAUGAUAACAGCAAUUAAGAAAUCCAAAAUUCACCAGGCUGACACAUUUCAACAUCUCAAAAACCCCCUUCCCAGAGGGAGUAGAGCUCUUCUCUCUUCUGUGAUUAUAGGAUUCACACACCUUUUGCUUUGACACAGAUGGGAAAAUCAGAGGGUUAAACAGAAAAAGGGAAGAGGAAAGUUCCCACUUUUCAGUCAUUUAAGGAUUAAUGAGAAAAUGAAGGCCUUCGCUUCCUAUUUGUUUGUUUGUUUUAACCUAUGAGGCAGCUGCAGACUUUUUUUUGGCACAGGAGACCCAGAGGUGGAGGCAUGGUGCUUAGGAGGCAGCAGGUGUGAGCAGUUUGGGCAGCACAGCACAGGUGAAGGAAGAUACACAGCUUCUACUCGUAACAGUGCCCUGCCCAGAGGAUUGAGGCUAGGAUGC
ensembl:lncRNA